rnacentral:rRNA from 1 species
UACGAAGGGGGCGAGCGUUGUUCGGAUUUACUGGGCGUAAAGGGCGCGUAGGCGGCGCGAGAAGUCGAGUGUGAAAGCCCCGGGCUCAACCUGGGAAUUGCGCUCGAUACUCUAGUGCUUGAGUUCGGGAGAGGAGCGUGGAAUUCCCAGUGUAGAGGUGAAAUUCGUAGAUAUCUGCAGGAACACCCGUGGCGAAAGCGGCGCGCUGGACCACUACUGACGCUGAGAAGCGAAAGCAUGGGGAGCGAACAGG